rnacentral:rRNA from 1 species
CCUACGGGGGGCUGCAGUGGGGAAUAUUGGACAAUGGGGGCAACCCUGAUCCAGCCAUGCCGCGUGUGUGAAGAAGGCCCUCGGGUUGUAAAGCACUUUCAGUGAGGAAGAACGCCUGGUGGUUAAUACCCAUCAGGAAAGACAUCACUCACAGAAGAAGCACCGGCUAACUCCGUGCCAGCAGCCGCGGUAAUACGGAGGGUGCGAGCGUUAAUCGGAAUUACUGGGCGUAAAGCGCGCGUAGGUGGCUUGAUAAGCCGGUUGUGAAAGCCCCGGGCUCAACCUGGGAACGGCAUCCGGAACUGUCCAGCUAGAGUGACGGAGAGGAAGGUAGAAUUCCCGGUGUAGCGGUGAAAUGCGUAGAGAUCGGGAGGAAUACCAGUGGCGAAGGCGGCCUUCUGGACUGACACUGACACUGAGGUGCGAAGGCGUGGGUAGCAAACAGGAUUAGAUACCCUUGUAGUC